rnacentral:rRNA from 1 species
UACGGAGGGUGCAAGCGUUGCUCGGAAUUAUUGGGCGUAAAGGGUAGGUAGGUGGUCUCAUUUGUCUGAGGUGAAAGCCUUGAGCUUAACUCAAGAAGUGCCUCGGAAACGGUGAGACUAGAGUCCUGGAGAGGGUCGUGGAAUUCCCGGUGUAGCGGUGAAAUGCUUAGAUAUCGUCAAGAACACCUAUAGCGAAGGCAGCUUACUAGGCUGUAACUGACGCUGAGGCACGAAAGUGUGGGGAUCAAACAGG